rnacentral:rRNA from 1 species
ACUCAAAUGAAUUGACGGGGGCCCGCACAAGCAGUGGAGUAUGUGGUUUAAUUCGAAGCAACGCGAAGAACCUUACCAGGUCUUGACAUUGAGUGAAAGUCCAAGAGAUUGGAUCCUCUCCUUCGGGAGACACGAAAACAGGUGGUGCAUGGUUGUCGUCAGCUCGUGUCGUGAGAUGUUGGGUUAAGUCCCGCAACGAGCGCAACCCUUACUAUUAGUUACUACGGAUAGAAGAGGACUCUAAUAGGACUGCCGUUGACAAAACGGAGGAAGGUGGGGAUGAGGUCAAAUCAUCAUGCCCUUUAUGACCUGGGCUACACACGUACUACAAUGGCGCUAAACAAAGAGCAGCAAAACCGCGAGGUGGAGCCAAACUCAUAAAAGGCGUCUCAGUUCAGAUUGUAGGCUGAAAUUCGCCUACAUGAAGAUGGAAUUGCUAGUAAUCGCAGAUCAGCAUGCUGCGGUGAAUACGUUCUCGGGCCUUGUACACACCGCCCGU